rnacentral:sRNA from 1 species
UGAGGCACUACGAAGUCUGCCGAGUCAGC